rnacentral:rRNA from 1 species
AGAGUUUGAUCCUGGCUCAGGACGAACGCUGGCGGCGUGCUUAACACAUGCAAGUCGAACGGAAAGGCCCUUCGGGGUACUCGAGUGGCGAACGGGUGAGUAACACGUGGGUGAUCUGCCCUGCACUUUGGGAUAAGCCUGGGAAACUGGGUCUAAUACCGAAUAUGACCAUGCACUUCCUGGUGUGUGGUGCAAAGCUUUUGCGGUGUGGGAUGAGCCCGCGGCCUAUCAGCUUGUUGGUGGGGUAAUGGCCCACCAAGGCGACGACGGGUAGCCGGCCUGAGAGGGUGACCGGCCACACUGGGACUGAGAUACGGCCCAGACUCCUACGGGAGGCAGCAGUGGGGAAUAUUGCACAAUGGGCGCAAGCCUGAUGCAGCGACGCCGCGUGAGGGAUGACGGCCUUCGGGUUGUAAACCUCUUUCAGUAGGGACGAAGCGAAAGUGACGGUACCUACAGAAGAAGGACCGGCCAACUACGUGCCAGCAGCCGCGGUAAUACGUAGGGUCCGAGCGUUGUCCGGAAUUACUGGGCGUAAAGAGCUCGUAGGUGGUUUGUCGCGUUGUUCGUGAAAACUCACAGCUUAACUGUGGGCGUGCGGGCGAUACGGGCAGACUAGAGUACUGCAGGGGAGACUGGAAUUCCUGGUGUAGCGGUGGAAUGCGCAGAUAUCAGGAGGAACACCGGUGGCGAAGGCGGGUCUCUGGGCAGUAACUGACGCUGAGGAGCGAAAGCGUGGGUAGCGAACAGGAUUAGAUACCCUGGUAGUCC